AAAAGAAAGGAAAAGGUCGAACAAGGUACACUUUAGGUACACUUUCUAGAAAGAUACUUUUCAUACCGCCCUCGCUAGCAUAGCUCGAAGAAAUUGGUGGAAUGCAGGAGAUCCAGAAGAUCAUCCGAUUGCACAGUUAUGUUAAAGCUUAAAGCUCAGCUUAGGCAUGCAAUAGGUACAGGCGAAUAGACUUUAUUCAUGUGAAAUCAUUCCCCUGCAUAGUUUCACUUACGGCACACGUAUAUAUAGAUUUUCGUGAUUUUCGCAAUCGCAGAGUGAAUGGUGAAGACACGUGGAGUUACAUAACUUCCAAUUUUUCACUAUUAUCUAAUCGUCCGCUGUUUAUAUGGAUUAAUAAAUCCGAAGAGUGGCGUUAGCUGAACUACCCGAGGGAAAAGUGAAAAUAAAGUGAAAUUCUUGAAAGAAGCAAAGGGAUAGGAGUACUGGAAAAUCUUAAUACAGCCAAGCCGGCCAACCAAUCUACGGUAUCAACUACUAAAACAACCAAGCUGACCGUUUGGGAGUUAGCGCAGUGCACAUCCACGGCGGCAAAGUGAAGGCUGAACCGUUGACGUUGGGCUAGCUCAAUAUCGGAAAUCAUUUACGGCUCGUGAAAGACCAACCACCAUACACCACUGCUGGACGUCCGAAUAUCAGUUUGAACCUGCCGAUCUCGAAAAAAAAAAGCCGGAGGACAUAAUCGUCACCAACCUACGAAAACUUACAAAGGAUUGAGUAAUUAGGCUAGCCUAAACCACAUUGCCUCAGAACCACUCUUGCUGUCAGCAGAUUUGUGUUUAUUUUGAUUCCCGUGUUUCUCAAAUUAAAUUUCAAGUGCAAGUUCCCGUUUGCCUUUAUCACUAUCACAUAAAAAUCUAUACGCUGCUGCUCUAAGAACCAGCUGAUUAGAUCCACAUAUUCAUAUCUCGUUUAUCAUUGUGUUGAUUAAUGUAGUAACUAAAUAGCUUCCUCCAAUGAGUAAAUUUGUAACGUAACUGACGAUUUU